ACUCACGGGGUUGAGUUGCAAAGGCAAGGUCUUGCCCGUCUGUCCCCCAAGUUGGCGCGGCUUUACUUUUUGGCAAGGCCAUUUAUUUUUCUGAAAGGGGGACGUGAGACCCUGCUAUGAAAGCCUCGUUGAUAUUAGGUCCUUCUGGGGAAAAUUUUGGGGAGGAAAAAGAACCUUUGGAGGUAAUGACCCCUAAAGUUAAGCUGCACGGAUGGAUGGACACUGUAGGAAGGCAGGUUAAUUAAAUAGCAUCUUAAGCCUAUUAAAGGCAAAUACUGUGGUCUGGGGUUGCAAAUGAACCAUUCAAUUGAAUCAAAAGGCAAUGAAAUCACAUUGCUGUUCAUGAGUGGAAUCCAUGUUUCUGGACGCGGAUUUUUGGCCUCAUACUCUGUUAUAGAUAAACAAGAUCUAAUUACUUGUUUGGACACUGCAUCCAAUUUUUUGGAACCUGAGUUCAGUAAGUACUGCCCAGCUGGUUGUCUGCUUCCUUUUGCUGAGAUAUCUGGAACAAUUCCUCAUGGAUAUAGAGAUUCCUCGCCAUUGUGCAUGGCUGGUGUGCAUGCAGGAGUAGUGUCAAACACGUU
rnacentral:lncRNA from 1 species